CCUACGGGAGGCUGCAGUGGGGAAUAUUGGACAAUGGGGGCAACCCUGAUCCAGCCAUGCCGCGUGUGUGAAGAAGGCCCUCGGGUUGUAAAGCACUUUCAGUGAGGAAGAACGCCUGGUGGUUAAUACCCAUCAGGAAAGACAUCACUCACAGAAGAAGCACCGGCUAACUCCGUACCAGCAGCCGCGGUAAUACGGAGGGUGCGAGCGUUAAUCGGAAUUACUGGGCGUAAAGCGCGCGUAGGUGGCUUGAUAAGCCGGUUGUGAAAGCCCCGGGCUCAACCUGGGAACGGCAUCCGGAACUGUCAAGCUAGAGUGCAGGAGAGGAAGGUAGAAUUCCCGGUGUAGCGGUGAAAUGCGUAGAGAUCGGGAGGAAUACCAGUGGCGAAGGCGGCCUUCUGGACUGACACUGACACUGAGGUGCGAAAGCGUGGGUAGCAAACAGGAUUAGAUACCCCUGUAGUC
rnacentral:rRNA from 1 species